rnacentral:rRNA from 1 species
CCUUCAAGCUAUGGUGAAGGCGCGGCAAACGGCUCAGUAACACGUGGCCAACCUACCCUUGGGACGGAGACAACCCCGGGAAACUGGGGCUAAUCCCCGAUAGGUAAGGAAUCCUGGAAUGGAUCUUUGCUGAAAGGGCGUCUAGACCAUGCUUCUUGACGUCGCCCAAGGAUGGAGCCGCGGCCGAUCAGGUAGUUGGCGAGGCAACGGCUCACCAAGCCUAUAACCGGUACGGGCCGUGAGAGCGGUAGCCCGGAGAUGGGUACUGAGACAAGGGCCCAGGCCCCACGGGGCGCAGCAGUUGCGAAAACUCCGCAAUGCGCGAAAGCGUGACGGGGCUACCCCGAGUGCCGCCCGUUGAGGGCGGCUUUUCCACGGUGUAAGGAGCCGUGGGAAUAAGGAGAGGGCAAGACUGGUGUCAGCCGCCGCGGUAAUACCAGCUCUCCGAGUGGUGGGGACGAUUAUUGGGCUUAAAGCGUUCGUAGCCGGCUUAACAAGUCUUCCGUUAAAUCCAACGAUCUAAUCGUUGGGCUGCGGGAGAUACUGUUGGGCUAGGAGGCGGGAGAAGCCGACGGUAUUCUCGGGGUAGGGGUGAAAUCCUGUAAUCCCGGGAGGACCACCAGUGGCGAAGGCGGUCGGCUAGAACGCGCUCGACGGUGAGGGACGAAAGCUGGGGGAGCGAACCGGAUUAGAA